rnacentral:rRNA from 1 species
GAUGAACGCUAGCGGCAGGCCUAACACAUGCAAGUCGAGGGGUAACAGAAGAAGCUUGCUUCUUGCUGACGACCGGCGCACGGGUGCGUAACGCGUAUACAACUUGCCCUUAACUGGAGGAUAGCCCCGAGAAAUCGGGAUUAAUACUCCAUAACAAUGUAGAAUGGCAUCAUUCAGCAUUUAAAGCUCCGGCGGUUAAGGAUGGGUAUGCGUAAGAUUAGUUUGUUGGUGAGGUAACGGCUCACCAAGACUACGAUCUUUAGGGGUUCUGAGAGGAUGAUCCCCCACACUGGUACUGAGACACGGACCAGACUCCUACGGGAGGCAGCAGUGAGGAAUAUUGGUCAAUGGACGCAAGUCUGAACCAGCCAUGCCGCGUGAAGGAAGACGGCCCUACGGGGUUGUAAAACUUCUUUUUUAUAUGGGAAAGAAAACCCCCUCUACGUGUAGAGGGCUGACGGUACCAUACGAAUAAGCACCGGCUAACUCCGUG